rnacentral:rRNA from 1 species
CAGCCGCCACGGGAAUACGUAGGUGGCAAGCGUUGUCCGGAAUUAUUGGGCGUAAAGGGCUCGCAGGCGGUUUCUUAAGUCUGAUGUGAAAGCCCCCGGCUCAACCGGGGAGGGUCAUUGGAAACUGGGAAACUUGAGUGCAGAAGAGGAGAGUGGAAUUCCACGUGUAGCGGUGAAAUGCGUAGAGAUGUGGAGGAACGCCAGUGGCGAAGGCGACUCUCUGGUCUGUAACUGACGCUGAGGAGCGAAAGCGUGGGGAGCGAACAGGAUUAGAUACUCCAGUAGUCCCUGUCUCUUAUAC